rnacentral:rRNA from 1 species
UACGUAGGUGGCAAGCGUUGUCCGGAUUUACUGGGCGUAAAGCGCGCGCAGGCGGGCUGGUCAGUCUGGGGUGAAAUCUCACGGCUCAACCGUGAGAGGUCCCUGGAUACUGCUAGCCUUGAGGGGCUCAGAGGAGAGUGGAAUUCCGGGUGUAGUGGUGGAAUGCGUAGAUAUCCGGAGGAACACCAGUGGCGAAAGCGGCUCUCUGGGGGCAACCUGACGCUGAGGCGCGAAAGCUAGGGGAGCAAACGGG